GACGAACGCUGGCGGCGUGCUUAACACAUGCCAGUCGAACGGUGAAGCGCCUUCCUUUUUGGUGGGUGUGGAUGAGUGGCGAACGGGUGAGUAACACGUGAGUAACCUGCCCCCUUCUUCUGGAUAACCGCAUGAAAGUGUGGCUAAUACGGGAUAUUCUGGGUCUGUCGCAUGAUGGGUCUGGGAAAGAUAUUGUUUCGGUGGGGGAUGGGCUCGCGGCCUAUCAGCUUGUUGGUGGGGUGAUGGCCUACCAAGGCGGUGACGGGUAGCCGGCCUGGGAGGGUGGACGGUCACACUGGGACUGAGACACGGCCCAGACUCCUACGGGAGGCAGCAGUGGGGAAUAUUGCACAAUGGGCGCAAGCCUGAUGCAACGACGCCGCGUGAGGGAUGGAGGCCUUCGGGUUGUGAACCUCUUUCGCCAGUGAAGCAGGCCUGCCUCGUUUGUGGGUGGGUUGACGGUAGCUGGAUAAGAAGCGCCGGCUAACUACGUG
rnacentral:rRNA from 1 species